GAAUAUGAUGAGAGUUAUUGUCGCCCCAGUCUUACGAACUUCGUUAACGUACGUGGUUCCCUGGUGAUAGACAUAUUUACAAUCUGAUUCUUUGUAUUUUAAAAUUUUGGUCGUCUAUUUUCAUUUUAGUAUGAGAUUUGGGGAAUUUGUAGAGGUGAUUUGAUUUGGAAAAGAUUGAAGUGAUGAUUUAUUUUACCCAAUAUUGUCUGCACUAUGGUAUGAUGAUCUAUAAUACAUGCACUACCAUCUGAUCAAUCUUUUACUCACUCUGUUUUUUCAAUAUUUCCUAAUUUUUUGUAAAUCCCAAAUUAAAAAUGCAUACGGUGCAAUCGAUGAUGCAAAUCUACAUUUUAAACUGAUGUUUUGCUGUGAUUAACUUAAAUUUAUCACCAUCUUUCGGCUGAGAUUGCAUUAGAAGGUGUUAUUUAUUUAAAAUGCCCUAUGGUAUCUGAUGCCUUGACCUAAUUAAUGUUUUAGGCAUCUCGUUAGACGGGCAGAUAGCGAUGAAAACAGGUUUGCGACACAGUUUGCUGCUACAUUUCUAAGCUUACUGUUACUUUUAUUACUGUUCACAUUUUUUAGUAUUUUUGUGACACGCAAUUUUUUUAGGGCAGUGAUGAGAAAUUAGGAAAGUCAUGCACCACUCUGAUACUCAUUGUGAUUGAUAAACUUUCUCAUAACCCAUAUUUUUGUAUCUGAGCCC
rnacentral:lncRNA from 1 species